AUUAUUGUUGAAAGCCGAAGCUGGAACUCAACGUUGGUUUCAAUCAAUUAUUUGGUUGUUAAGAAAUCCGAAUAAAAAUGAAAUAUUUUACGCAUGCAUUUCUUUUAGUUUGUCUGGUAUUGGCUGUCGUAAACAUAGUCAAGAGAGAACCUUUUUUACCUGUUCCCGCCCCUUAAAAAGCUACAUUUUUUUAUAACUAGCAGAUUUGAGGAAGCUAAAAAUGUCGAUUAUUUGAUACAAUAUAUGUAAUUUGGAAAUAAAAAAAACUUUACCACUUA